AUUGAACGCUGGCGGCAGGCCUAACACAUGCAAGUCGAACGAGCGGCGGACGGGUGAGUAAUGUAUGGGAAACUGCCCGAUGGAGGGGGAUAACUACUGGAAACGGUAGCUAAUACCGCAUACUAUCGGUUGUUCCCAGAUGGGAUUAGCUAGUAGGUGGGGUAAAGUCUCACCUUGGCGACGAUCCCUAGCUGGUCUGAGAGGAUGAUCCGCCACACUGGGGAUGAGAGAGGGUCGAAAAGCUUACGCGAGGCGGCAGUGAGGAAUAUUGAACAAUGGGGGCAAGCCUAAUGCAGCAAUGCCGCGUGUAUGAAGAAGGCCGUCGGGUUGUAAAGUACUUUCAGCGGGGAGGCGUUACCCGCAGAAGAAGCACCGGCUAACUCCGUGCCAGCAGCCGCGGUAAUAC
rnacentral:rRNA from 1 species